rnacentral:tRNA from 1 species
GGCUCCACAGUGUAAUGGUUAGCAUGUCUGCUUUACAUGCAGAAGGUUCUGGGUUUGCACCCCAGGUGGAUCCA